rnacentral:lncRNA from 1 species
GGGAUAGUUAGAGGCAAUGUAGGGUAGAGGGAAGAGCACAGAUUUUACAGUUAGAAAGUCUGUUCAAAUUCUGGCUCACUUACUCCUUGCUUAGGACAUUCUAGGGAAGUUAUUUAACUUCUCUGAGCAUCAGUUUCCACAUUUCAUAAAGGUUUUACUGGGCAGUUCUGAGGGUUAGGAUGACAUGAUGGAUAUAAAAUGCCAGCAUGCAGUAAGCUCUCAAUAAAGGCUAGCAAUUAGUAUAAAUUAAUCUUUUCUCUGGUGAAGGGGCCACGUGUAUUGCUAACCUGGGUUAUUCUCAGGCUAUUGUUGAAACUAGAGCCUUCUCUAGUCCACAGCACAUGGGCAAUCGACCUGUUGUGUGUUUAAACAGUACAAAAAUAGUAAGUUCUCCAGAGAGAUGUUAGUAGUUAUAUUUGUUAUUGUUAGUGUGGGGUAUGUGUGGUUUUUUUCCGAUAUAUCUAACUUAUUUUGGCUACUCAAGCUAUACACAUCGAUACUGGUCAAAUGUCCAAACGAACUGUGAUCCUGGGAUCCUAGGGUCCAAGGAGGAAGGUGACAGUAGGAGAGGUUGA